GGUGCCAUAGCUCAGUUGGUAGAGCAACGGACUGAAAAUCCGUGUGUCGCUGGUUCGACUCCAGCUGGCACCA
rnacentral:tRNA from 1 species